CAGAAAAAGUUUUAGCUCAAUUACUUAGCAAAGCGUAAAAAUCCAAGUAUAUAGUAGUAAGAGUUGAACAUCAACCUGUUCCAGUCGACAACUUGACAUGAAAUACGAAAACAAUUUUACCAACACAAAGGGGAAUUCAAGAUUUAUUGCAAAUGGAGGGGCAAAGCGGGUACGAAUCAACUUGUUAAAGUCCACACACACGCUCAUUCAAUGUCCAUUAGCGUGUGGAUUCGGAAUCAAGUCUAGAAUUCCUUUCGGAUUUCCUUGUCUCUAGCAAUUUUUCUUGUACAAAUUAGUGGCUAUAAGGGAAAAAAAACUAACGCAAUACAAUCUCUUAUUUAUCUAGCAAUCAAACCUAACUAAAUAACCUGCAAUGGGCCUUACAAAGCUACUUUAAGACACACUAGCUAUAUAGAAAAAGGAUGUGGCUGGUUAUAUGAUCUUCUAUUUCAGGCGAAUGGAAAGAGAUAUCAGUACUAAUGAAUAAAGUAACAUAUCAUCCCAGCCGAUAAAUCUUUUUAAGUGCAAUAGGUUAGUAAACUACUACAUCUAACCCUUUCACCGUUUUUGAGUAACUAAAUCUCGUUCCGCUUUCUCCCAAAACCUUUUUUUUCAAAAAGAAAGUAAUUUCAAACUCAAAUAUAACGAAAAUGAAAAAACAAAAUUAAUUUUUUUUGCACCGUAUUAAAGAUUUCAAUGAAAUCUAUCAAACAAGAUCCAUAUUAGUAGAAAAAUUAUUUGCGUAAACACAGAAUUUUUGACCUUGACAUUGCCUUUUUCUUUUUCUUAAAGUUCUUUUUUUGAAAAAUUGGAACGGCCUUAAAAAGAUUUUUCUCAAUGUCACUUUUUACUUUCCCAGCAUUACAAGGCACAAAACCUUCCGGAUCCAGCACGAAAAAACAAUAUGCAGAUAGAACAGUGAUUAUGACCAUUCAACUAGAUAUCUUCUUUGAGAAUAAAUUCUUUACACCGCCGGUAUAAACAUUUGUUUUCUCCAAAUCAAUUGCAUUGCGAUACAUGUCAAAACAGUGGUCUCAAUUAAUAAAAUAUGGCGAUGUGACGCAAUACAAUUGAUUUGAAGGAAACAAAUAUUUACACCGACGGUGUAAAGAAUUUAUUCUCAUCUUCUUUGCACCUUUGGAAAAGGGGGAAAAAGUUCUCUUGAAAUGUCUUCACUGAAUAAUGCAAACUCGUGAUGCAAAGGUAACCGCGUGACCAGUGGUGGACCUAGAAAAUCACAAUGGUGGGGGCCCAUAUUAUUUUGUAAUCUUCAAGAAAAAAUUUGUAAAAAAACAAAUGACGCAAAGAUUAAAUAUUCAGUACCGAAUAAAAUUAUAUAAUGUGUAUGUUUACAAAAAGUUUCUACAAUAUAUGUACCUUUAAGGUAUUUCUCCAUGUUUUCAAUAAAAAAAAUAGUUCUCCUUGACUUUAUUCAAAUAAGAUAAACUUCAAAUACCACCUAGUUAGACGAAAAGCCUUACCAAUGACGAAGUACAAAAUUUUACAAGUGAGGCUACACAAAACAUUAAAAGCCCUAAUUUUUUCAAUAUAGAAAGUCGUGAUUUGUUUAUCGAAAAAGGUACUCCUAAUUUAGUUAACAAGAAUUCCUAACUCAAGAUCAAAAUCAAAGCUCCAAUUUCCGGGUAUAGUAGUCAAUAUGUAAUGUAUCAAACAAAAGACCACCCCGGGUUCCGGGUUUGGCCAAAUGGGAAUAAAAAAGUUAAUAAUGUUUGUCCUUCAUGAGAUCGCAUGUUCGAAUUCUGCGAAGGCCAAACAUUCCAAACCCUUGGGAACACUAGAGGAUUUGUCCGGUCAUUAAACUUCAGUAACCCGGAAUCAGUCAAGGUGUGCCCAAGCUGACCCAAAUAUCUGGUUAUCAAACCAAAAUUGAAGUGGUGGGUUAGUUUUUUUUUUUUUUGGCUAGGCGAUAUACGUCAGCGGAUGUUAGUUUGUGGGGGGAGGGAGGGGUAUUAGUAUUAGCACGGAGUCCAGAGACUAUCCACGUGCCCCUUAUUGCGUCCACCCCUGCAUGUGACACCCAUUAUGACAAUGAAAGGGCCACGCGAUCAUCUCACUAAUUUUUUCUUUUUUUUCAUAAUUGAUAUCUGGCAAACUUGACCAACUAAUCUGGGAGCAAUAAAGUUGUCCACUAACGGGCCCCAAGUAAAAACGAGACAAAACCAGACCCAACACAUGAAUAAUUGAUAUUUGGAAGCUGGACAUGGAAAUCCAUUUAUCCAGUGUUUGUUUACUUUUUGCUACCCAUCCAGAUUUCCAUAUCCCCUUCCAAGGUGAUAAAUUUUAAAUUUUGGACACCUCCUGAGGUGUCCAAAUCAUAUCUGCCUCUUGGCCCUCUCUAUCCCGCCAAAAUACUCCUUUUAAUCAUUAUUGUACUUUAUUCACUUUUCAUAUUGUAAUAUAAUUUCUCUUUCAAUCAUAUCCAUCUCUUUAGUUCGCUCAUAAUAUAUCCCCUUAUCCACUAAAAAUUUAAUCGCAAAAAAAAAAAGCACGAGCGUGAGUCUAACCAAGACUAAAAAAUUCCCAAGACCCUGGUUGCAGAGUGAACACAGCGAAAGCAUGCGGUUCAUGUGCCUAAUAAAAAAAAUGUAGAUACUCAAAUCGUCUGCAAUGCAAUAUCUUAAAAAAUAGUGCGAAUUAUUGGGACCAAUUACUAUUUCAGCUUUUCAACCCGUCAUUAUAAAUGCAAUGACUGC